GCGCGCCGGGGCGGGGGGCGGGGGGAGCGCGCAGAGCCAAAGAGGGCGGCGGCAGCGGGCUGGUGGCGGGUUAUCCUUCUUCCCGCGUGCUUGGCGCCACCGGCCCACACUGCAGUGUGUUCUGUGGACGGCACCUUCUCGUACAGCCCGGCAGAGUCCAGCUCGGCGCCCCCAGCCUUGGACGCGAUGUUCCGCCGGAGCUUUAAUAGCUUUUGUGCUGGAGAAGACAAACGAGUUGGUACACGCACUGUGUUUGUUGGCAAUCAUCCAGAUUCAGCAGCAGAAGUUUACAUUGCACAAAGGUUUUGUGAUAAUAGGAUAGUCUCAUCCAAGUAUACACUUUGGAAUUUCCUCCCAAAGAAUCUGUUUGAACAGUUCAGAAGAAUUGCAAAUUUUUAUUUCCUCAUCAUUUUCCUUGUACAGGUCACAGUAGACACACCAACCAGCCCAGUUACCAGUGGACUUCCACUUUUCUUUGUUAUAGCUGUUACAGCCAUCAAGCAGGGAUAUGAGGAUUGGCUGAGACACAGAGCUGACAAUGAAGUCAACAAGAAAACUGUUUACAUUAUUGAAAAUGCAAAGCGAGUUAGAAAAGAGAGUGAAAAAAUCAAGGUCGGUGAUGUAGUAGAAGUGCAGGCAGAUGAGACCUUUCCCUGUGACCUUAUCCUUCUAUCUUCCUGCACUAGUGAUGGAACCUGUUAUGUUACUACAGCCAGUCUUGAUGGGGAAUCCAAUUGCAAGACACAUUAUGCAGUGCGUGAUACCAUUGGACUAUGGACAGCUGAAUCCAUUGAUACCCUCCGAGCAGCCAUUGAAUGCGAACAGCCUCAACCUGACCUCUACAAAUUUGUUGGGCGCAUCAGUAUCUAUAGUAAUAGCAUUGAGGCUGUUGCGAGGUCGUUGGGACCUGAAAAUCUCUUGUUGAAAGGAGCUACACUGAAAAAUACCGAGAAGAUAUAUGGAGUUGCUGUUUACACAGGGAUGGAAACCAAAAUGGCUUUGAACUACCAAGGGAAAUCUCAGAAACGCUCUGCUGUUGAAAAGUCCAUUAAUGUCUUCUUGAUUGUGUAUUUAUUUAUCUUACUGACCAAAGCUGCAGUAUGCACUACUCUCAAGUAUGUUUGGCAAAGUACGCCAUAUAAUGAUGAACCUUGGUAUAACCAAAAGACCCAGAAAGAGCGGGAUACUUUGAAGGUUUUGAAAAUGUUCACUGACUUCCUCUCAUUUAUGGUUCUGUUCAACUUUAUCAUUCCUGUUUCCAUGUACGUCACAGUAGAAAUGCAGAAAUUCUUGGGCUCCUUCUUCAUUUCAUGGGAUAAAGACUUUUAUGAUGAAGAAAUUAAUGAAGGAGCCCUGGUUAACACUUCAGACCUUAAUGAAGAACUUGGUCAGGUGGACUAUGUAUUUACAGAUAAAACUGGAACACUCACUGAAAACAGUAUGGAGUUCAUUGAAUGCUGCAUAGACGGGCACAAGUAUAAAGGUGUAACUCAGGAUACUGAUGGACUUUCUCAAACUGACGGACCCUUAACAUAUUUUGACAAAGCAGAUAAGAAUCGAGAAGAGCUCUUUCUGCGUGCCUUGUGUUUAUGCCAUACUGUAGAAACUAAAGCAAAUGAUGCUGUUGAUGGAGCUACAGAAUCAGCUGAAUUACCCUAUAUGUCCUCUUCACCAGAUGAAAUAGCUUUGGUGAAAGGAGCUACAAAGUAUGGGUUCACAUUUUUAGGAACUCAGAACGGCCAUAUGAAAGUACAGAACCAAAGAAAAGAAAUAGAAGAGUACGAACUUCUUCACACCUUAAACUUUGAUUCUGUCCGCCGCCGUAUGAGUGUCAUUGUGAAGACUCAAGCAGGAGAUAUACUUCUCUUUUGUAAAGGAGCAGACUCAGCAAUUUUCCCCAGGGUGCAAAAUCAUGAAAUUGAGUCAACUAAAGUCCAUGUGGAACGAAAUGCAUUGGAUGGGUAUCGGACACUUUGUGUAGCCUUCAAAGAAAUUGCUCCAGAUGAUUAUGAAAGAAUUGACAGACAGCUCACAGAGGCAAAAAUGGCCUUACAAGACAGAGAAGAAAAAAUGGAAAAGAUUUAUGAUGAAAUUGAAACAAACAUGAAUUUAAUUGGAGCCACUGCAGUGGAAGACAAGCUACAAGAUCAGGCAGCUGAAACCAUUGAAGCUUUGCAUGCAGCAGGUCUCAAAGUUUGGGUGCUUACUGGGGAUAAGAUGGAGACAGCCAAAUCCACCUGCUACGCCUGCCGCCUUUUCCAAACCAGCACUGAACUCUUGGAACUGACCACAAAGACCAUUGAAGAAAGUGAAAGGAAAGAAGAUCGAUUACAUGAAUUGUUGAUAGAAUAUCGUAAGAAGUUGGUGCAUGAAUUUCCUAAAAGUUCUAGAAGCCUUAAAAAAGAGAGAGGAGGGAGAGAGAGAAACAUCAAUGCCAGACGGAAGCAUCGAUUGGCUGCCUUAGCGUGGACAGACCAUCAGGAAUAUGGAUUGAUCAUCGAUGGCUCCACAUUGUCACUCAUAUUAAAUGCUAGUCAAGACUCCAGUUCUAACAAUUAUAAAAGCAUUUUCCUACAGAUUAGUAUGAAAUGCACUGCAGUGCUCUGCUGCCGGAUGGCACCAUUACAGAAAGCACAGAUUGUCAGAAUGGUGAAGAAUUUAAAAGGCAGCCCAAUAACACUGUCAAUAGGUGAUGGUGCCAAUGAUGUUAGUAUGAUCUUGGAAUCCCAUGUGGGAAUAGGUAUUAAAGGCAAAGAAGGUCGCCAAGCAGCCAGGAAUAGCGAUUAUUCUGUUCCAAAGUUUAAACAUUUAAAGAAACUGCUAUUGGCUCAUGGACAUCUAUAUUAUGUGAGAAUAGCACACCUUGUACAGUAUUUCUUCUAUAAGAACCUUUGUUUCAUUUUGCCACAAUUUUUGUACCAGUUCUUCUGUGGAUUCUCACAACAGCCACUGUAUGAUGCUGCUUACCUUACAAUGUACAAUAUCUGCUUCACAUCCUUGCCCAUCCUGGCUUAUAGUCUACUGGAACAACACAUCAAUAUUGACACUCUGACCUCAGAUCCCCGAUUGUAUAUGAAAAUUUCUGGCAAUGCCAUGCUGCAGUUGGGCCCCUUCUUAUAUUGGACAUUACUGGCUGCAUUUGAAGGGACAGUGUUCUUCUUUGGGACUUACUUUCUUUUUCAGACUUCAUCCCUAGAAGAAAAUGCAAAGGUGUAUGGAAACUGGACUUUUGGAACCAUUGUUUUUACAGUCUUAGUAUUCACUGUAACUCUGAAGCUUGCCUUGGAUACUCAUUUCUGGACGUGGAUAAAUCACUUUGUAAUUUGGGGUUCUUUAGCCUUUUAUGUAUUCUUCUCAUUCUUCUGGGGAGGAAUUAUUUGGCCUUUUCUCAAACAACAGAGAAUGUAUUUUGUAUUUGCCCAAAUGCUGUCUUCUGUAUCCACAUGGUUGGCCAUAGUUCUUCUAAUAUUUAUCAGCCUUUUCCCUGAGAUUCUCCUGAUAGUAUUAAAGAAUGUAAGAAGAAGAAGCGCCAGGGUUCAUCACUUAAUUUCCUCUUCUGCAUAAAAAGUAUAGUAAAAACUUCGUUAUCCAAUACAGGUGGUAAGUAGAUUCCUUAAUAGUGUUCUAUGUGACCUUUAGCAAUCCAUAUGGAGCAUCACAUAUGCUCCAUAUGGAAUUUUAAAUGAAAAAAUGAUGUCUUUCUUUAGCCUAAAAUUUUCACACCAGGAAUUUCCACACCAACAUUCCAGGUUGAACUUUAGAAAUUUCCCUGUGAGUCAUUUGCAGAUGUUUUUUUCAGUUAAUAAUCCCAAUUCGCUUCUUCAAAACCUUUCCCCUUCCUUUAAUUAUAGUGCUGCUUAAUCUCUGAGUUGCUUCUAGCCCUGUCUGUCCAGCAGUAUAAUUGAACCAAAGAAAAUCCCCUGGAUGUGGUUUCUAUAUCCUUACCCUCCUGAACACACUUGUAAAAAUUCAAGAUGGUUUUAUAAGUGUGUUUUAUUUUUGCUGCUUAAAUUGUACUUUUUUUUUUGCGGGAAUGAGAAGUUACUACCCUCUGUCAGCCUAAUUGCUUGGCACCUGCAUUGCCUGAUAUUUUUUGAAUGUUCCUAGAAAAGCCUUUAAAGUGAGAGGGGUAGAUUAGCCUGGAAAACAAAAAACUUCUGACAAAUUUUGACCAACACAUUAAUUAAAUAUGUCAUUCCAGCCAAUAUUAGCUCAUUUUGCCAAACAAAACCCUGUUUCUAUGAUGUUGACACUAACUAGAUCUCAUAGCCCCUCCAAGGCAACAUUUUUAGGAAAUAGUCUAAGCCAUAUCUAUCUGACCCAUUUCAUCACAUUUCUGAACCAGUUUAGCCGCAAUACUGCUUUGUUUGAUUUUUUUUUUUUUGGCGUAUUGGAUUGAUAGAAUCCAGUGGUUGUCAUUAUGCAGACGUAGGGAACUAAAAUAAUUAUAGACGGAGUAUCUUCAGUGAUUAGAUAUAUAAAAGAGGCGUAUCAUUGAUACAAGUCAGUAUUGACCCCCAUCAAAAGCAAUAGACUAUCAGUGGCAUAAGCCACAUUGAUUCUUGCUGUACGAGGCCAGUCAGUGCACAGUUAAGUGGUCAGAACGAGCCUUAAUUCCCUGCUUCUGCAGGCCUAAUGGGUAGAACUGGACACAACGAAGUUAACCUAGCUAAGACUGCCUUAGUCUACUCUUCCAUCUUUCCAAUAGACUCCUGACUAACUCCCUCUAGCCUGGUGUUUAGUCUGAGGAUGGGAAAGUGACAUUUACUUGUGUGAUUAUAUUUUAAUAUCAGUUGAACAGAGGUAAAACAGAUUGCUAUAAUAGGUUCCUCUCAGAAUGGCUCCAGUGGCAAUUUGCAUAAAGCCAAAUAAAAAAUGUCACAGUAAAAAAUGGUUUGGUACCUUUUUAUAAUAAAGAAUUUGUCUUGGAAGGAUCUCUGAGGUAUUCUCCCAUUCUUUUCAUUUGGGAGUACACUUUGGGGUGGUCCUAAAUGUUUUUCUUCUUUGGGGUAGUGGAGCUCAUAGCAAAUAAUGGCUCCCACCCAGCUUUGUGCUAUAGAGAUAAAAAGUCUCAGAAGUCAAUACCUUCAAACAUAUCUUAUCCUCUUUCUUGGGCCCUUUCUUUUAAAAAUACCUAGAUACUUAGGUGAUAAGAGCUACUAACAGACAGGGAAAAAGUUAGAUACUGGCUGAAAGAUGACUUUUAUAUAAAUUAAAUGAUUGUUAAAUGGAAGGAGGCUACAAAGCAGUCACAGGUAAAGAUGAGAACAUUCCUAAUUUCUGUUGAAAGCAUGCAGUCCUGGGACUUCAGCCCUUUUUACAUAGCAAACAUAGAGUGUUGCCAGGCGUUCAGCAUGAAAUUUGUUUGCCCUUGGUUAUGUACAUUAUAGGAAGAAUUCUAGUGUCCAUGUUGUAGCUUGGCAUGCUGACGUGCUGGAACAAUGAGGAGACUUUCCCUCAUCACCUUCAUGCAUUCAAUCAUUCAUUCAUUCCUACCCUCAUUGAGCCAGUGAACAUGUUUAACCACCUAAUGAUGAACAUCUCUCUUUCCCACCAAUGUCCGAAAGGCUAAAUGGUUUUUCAGACUCUGUGUGAUUUUAAGAGUUGCAGAUGAGAUAUAACGUUGUAGGCACUCAGCAGUGCUGCCAUUUUUUCUCUUCUUGUUUUUCUUUUUGCCAUUUUUUCUCUUGUGAGAAAACACAAGAGUAAAGUAGUGAACGUGAAUGCAUGAAGGCCAAAUGAAACAUCACAGCCAUGGGUAUUCUGAUAAGUCACAGGUUUACAUAAGGCCCUAUUUGGCCAUAUCAAAGAGGUAGAAAUCACUUCUAAAAUAAAGCAGAAAGCAUAUCUUAAUGACCAACAGCCUGACAUCCUGAGGGACUCCCUACUUUGUUCAGUAUCCCUUGCUAAGGCAUUGGCCUCAUUUUAAAGAGAGACAAAAGAUUCUUUUCCACUAGGUUGGCCUCUUACCUGACAGGCUCCCUAAUGGGGUAAAGGAUCUGUCCCUACUUAGAGGUAGAAGAUGCCCUGACUACCAACCAGUAAGCAUCUUGGAUACUUUGAAUCCACUGCCAGAAAUGUCUGUGGCAAGUAAGCUCCCAGUGCUGUCCUCACAUGGGUCUUGGCUGGCCCUUGGAGAAGGGAAUUUAGCAGCGGGUAGUGAGACCGGCUCUGUGGGCUUUGAGAAAGAAGCUAAGCCAUUUACAUGUAACAGUUACAAAAGCAGCUUUCUGGUGACUCCCAUUCAGUUUAUCCCACAUUCCCUGAGGGUCCACUAUAAAUUAGCUACUGUACUAUGUGUUGCUAAUUCAGGGAUGAAUCAGAUAAGGCCCCCAGCUCAUAAGGAGCCUCACUCUAGUUGUCAUAAAGGGGAUUCAUAUUAUUAUAUAAGCAGAACAGUAGAGUGAAUGAUAUGGCUUAUUUUAGGACAACCGAGGUAUUUCAGUGUCUUAGUCACUAUCUCCUGAAGCCUCCAAUAAAAAGGCUCGUAUAACAGCCUGUACCACAGCCAAGUUCUGUCAUGGCAGUAACAUUAUAAAGAGUUCUAUCUUCAAAAAGGUGAGGGGAUUAAGAAGUACAAAUUGGUAGUUACAGAAUAGUCAUGGGGAUAUAAAGUACAGCAAUGAGGAUAUAGUCAAUGAUGUUGUAAUAACUAUGUAUGAGGCCAGGAGGGUACUAGAUUUAUUGGGGCAAUCACUUUGUAAGUUAUAUGAAUGUCUAAUCAUUAGGUUUUACAGCUGAAACUAAUCUAAUAUUAUACAGUAACUAUAAUUGAAAAACUUUUUUCUAUUUAAUUUUUAAAAGGUGAGGGGAAUUUCUGCUAUCUUCAGAUAUAGGUGUUCUCAGUCAUUUAACUCAACAGUAUAAUUAAGCUAAUAUAUUCCUCAGCUGUAUUUUCAUCAGUGUGCUUAAUUAUUUUUAAAAUAUCUAAAUAUGUUUAUUGGUUUUAGAGAGCGAGGAAGGGAGAGAGAGGGAUGGGGAGAGAGACAGACAGACAGACAGAGAAACAUAGGUGUGGGAGAGAAAUAUCCGUUGGCUGCCUCCCAUACACACCCCGACCAGGGAUCAAACCUGCAAGCUAGGUAUGUGCCCUGAUUGGGAAUCAGUCCCCCAACCUUUUGAUUUACGGGAUGACACUCGAACCACCUGAGCCACACCUGCCAGGGCACACAGUAUGCUUAAUGUUUGAGCUAAGAUUCCAUCAUUAAGAAUCAUAGAGCUUUUCUAUAGCUUAUAAAUUGACAAAGCUGUACUGCCAUACUGCUGACAGUAUAUGAUGAAAUUUCAAAGGAAAUUCAAAGUUUAGGAUUUUGGGUAUUUCAAAAGUUGUGUUUCCCUCUGAGCACAAUUGUUGAGCUGUCUCUCAAUCAGUGAAAUAUAUAUAUCGAGACUUUCUGGCCAGGUAGUAAAUAUCACUUCUCAUUACCAACGGAGGAAUUUUCCACAUGUCUUUAUGUGAGUUUUCCCAUGUAAAACACCACAAUAAAAAGGGAGGCUUGACUUUGCCUAUUAGAGAUAGGAACACUAUAAUCCAGCAGGAAGGGGCCCCCGCAAUAUGGCGAUGCCUAGCACUGGAUGUCUGCACAAGCAAGCAGAAAUAUUCCAUUCCGUAGGGAGUUCUUUCAGAGUGGAAGGCGAGGAAGAAUGUCAGCUGUCUGAGCAAAAUUCCCAGAGAAAGCACUUUGGAAAUUUUGGAAAUGCAAUUUAUCCUUAUAAUAUCCUUAUAAUAAUAACAAUGGUGACAAUCAUCAUUCUAUUGAAAUGCUGACAGUCACCUGCAACCAUUGGUUCUGAGGAUAAUAGUCCUGUGAACUGGAUUAGACAAAAAUAAAGUUGAACUCUAACUAACGUUGUGGCUGUUGAGAUGGAUCUUUAUGCAUUGGCCUCUUUGACAUAUUGCUAACUGAGCUGGUGUCAAAGGUCUCUAGAUGACUACAAAGGAAUGUGGAAAUUUCAUACUGUUUCAGCUCAUUAUCUCCCAUUCUCUGCCAGCUAUAUAGUUUUGAUGGCUUCAGAUACUCUUACCAUGUUCUUUACCACCUUCUGUACUUUCAUAUUUCCUUUUUUUCUGAAUAAAGUAACAUAAUCUGUUGGCCCCUAAAAUUUGUGAUUCAUAGAAAUAGUUUUAUCUUUCAUGGCUGAAUGCAAGGUUUUGAGUGGACCAAAAUGUUGCAGUCUUAAAUAAAUAACACUUGCAGAGUAAACAUGAGGGUGGGGGACUUCAUCAUGGUGUGUGCCUGCAAAAUAGAAGACAAAGCAAUUUUCAAAAAUUUUCUAGAAACUAAAUAUUUCUAGCUUUAUUCAUUUGUAAUUUCCAUGUUAUCAACAUGUCCCCAACUUUCCUUAAGGUAAAAAUCCUAACAGGAAAAAAUGCGGUAAUGUUAAAACAGGAAUAAAUCCAAGUAUUUGCCUUUAAAAGUUUGUUUAUUGGACUCUGUUGGAUACAUAUAUUACUUUAACUGGUUUAUUUUUAAGCCUGUUUUCGAUAGCUACUAAGUAGAUAAUGUGGGUAAUUAGCAACAUUUGUUAAACUUAUUCCCAUAGUCCACCACUCAUCUUCUGUUUUCCUUGGGCAAGUCUGUAAAUUAGCUUAUAACUUCAGGCAUAGAAUAAGAAGGAAAAACAUAACCCUUUUUGGUUUUCUCAUGAAACUUUAUCAAUGUUUACUUUUUUUCUGGGCAUUUUGAAGGAAAAAUGUAUAGCUCCUUAGCCUACCCUUUGGAAGAGCUCUCUGUAAGAAAGGAGGAAACCCAUCACAUUAUGUUAGAAUAAAGGUAGUCAGGCACCAGCUCAGAGGUAGAUGGGACUAAAGUGUGGUUUCACCAAAUGUUUUCUCAUUGCAUUAGUUUUGAGUGGGUUUUUAACUUGCAGCUGCCCAAUGGCAGUCAGUCUCUUCAGAUUGUAUUUGUGCAGUUGGAUAGGGGAGACAGUCAAGUCAGUUCAAGGUAGAGUGGUGAUGGGCCGUGGACACAGACCUUGGAUCAACAGAUUUUGAACAGUGGAUUAAUGAUUUAGUAAAUUGAAGAUUAGAGAUAAGCCUUAUUUCAAUGAGAAGCAUACUUUUUAAUUAUUCAUUCAAAAUAGUCCAUUUUCCCAUUAACAAAUAAUUUUAAAUUCAUAUACAGAGAAAUAGUAGUUUGCACAUAUAAUAGACUAUUCCUAAUUCUAACUUCUACUUUUACUUGAGAAAUUAACGUCUUCAAAAAUAACAUGUCAUUUUGACUUCAAAUUCUCCAGGUUUCUUUUUAAAUGUCUUACAUUUCAGAGAAUAUUUACUUUUUUUUUUGUUUUGGUUUCUGCAUUUCUCUUUUUUCUACUGCAAUUUUCCACCUUUUGUGCAAUUGUGAACAAGGUAACGAAUCGCCUCCCUUCCUCAGGAACAUCUACUAUCUUCAUGCUUUCUCAAACUUCCAGCAAUCACAGUUUCUCUUGGAGUGAAUAAGGUGAUUUCCUUUCUUAAUGUACCGACUUGCUUGCAUUCUCAUCUGCCUGACACCAUUUUCUGAUUAUGAGGAAUUACUUCUCAUGACUCAUUUUUAUAUCUUCUACUGAUACCUAAGAGUAUUUUGUCAUUUUUCUUUAAUCAUUUGUUCACCUUCUGAAAUCGUCACACUGGAGAGGAUAUUAUUUUCAAAAACUUGGACAGUAAGUCUCUGGUUCCAUUGAUUCCUAGUACAUAGUAGAGCCACGACAUGUUAGAGCUGAUCUGCUCACCAAGACAGGAAGGUUUUGCACAAAUUUCUCUUUGAUAACUGACGGCACUGCCACAACUCUCAGGGGUGUUCACCAAAAGGAUGGCGUGGUUUACUAAUCAGACCAUAUUGACUCAUCUACCACAUAACCUACCAGUGUCAUUCCAAAAACCCAAUUUGGCACAUACUACUAAUGUCUGUGUACUUCUGCCAUGAAAACAAUUCAAGUUGGAGACUUCUUGGCUCUUUAAAUGUAUUCAUGUAAAUGUUAUGCAUUUGCUACAGUGUGAUCAUUUGUUCUUUUAGCCAGAAGAGUAGUCUAUAGAAAAUGAUUUUUUUCUUCUACAUUUUUGUCAGCAGAAUCAGAAUCUUGAACUGCCUAUGUUAUUGUCCUACAAGCAUAUUGACAGUGGUUACAGCUAAAAAAGAAAGCAUGAAGAAACAACUACAAAAAGUUAUCAUCUCAGGAUACUCAAUAUGCAACAAACUGAACCACUCUGUUAUGUCUAGAGUUCAGAAUAUAUGUCCAUUAAAUACCAAAUGACUAUCAUAAUCAUUUACAGUUAUUGUAAGUAGCCAUUAUGGCCAAAGCUCUAAGUUAUGAAUUACAUGAAAGUUGAAAGUAAGAAUAUUUAGAAUUCCAGCUUUAAAUAAAAUAAUAUAACUUUCCAAAUGGGUGCUCUUUUAACCCAUGAAAUUUGUGAAUGGAUUUUAAUACAGUAGUGUAAAAUAGAAGUCAUGCAAUGGGAAUGAAUAGAUUUUGCUAAUAUGUCUCUUCUUUUUGCCUGGCGGAAGAAAUCAGCUGUUUGGAUCACAUUUCUUGUUCCUGCUGAAUGAUAAUCUUAAAUUAUUUUCAACAUGUGAAAGGAAUACUUGAAAAUUCAGGAAGACUAAAGGAUGAUAUCAAUGCGUCAGAUAGAAUAAUUAAUCCUUUCCAUUUACCCACAUGCUAAGUUUGUCUGGAUAGAAUAUCCUUGCCCCCAAAAUACCUUGAACACGUACGUGGAAAUAAUGUUAGUCCUGGAUGUUUUUGUGAGAAUCCAAAAAAUGUAUUUUAUUUUCAUUCUUCUGAAUAAGCCCCACUUACUGGGUGUGCGGGUACUAGAUUUGCAAAUAAAACAUUUCCAGUCACUUAGUAACCCCUUAAAAUAGUUCAGUUAUAACAGAUUUUCCCCACAUCAGCCAUUCUGGCAUGAGGUAAGGUGAGAAAAACCAUAAAACCACUUUACAUAAAAGUAAAGGUCGUUCUGCACAUUGGUCUUUCAUAACUUUGUAGGGAGCGGGUAAGAGUAGCUUCUUUCAGACUUAACGGUUUUAGUUGGAAAGAGGCUACGUGUGUGUAUAUAUUCAGCACUUUUCUUAUUGCCAAUAUCGGAGGGACAGAUCCACCCCAAGACGGUGUGUUUCAGCCUGCAGAGCCAUAAUUCGAGGCAUAAAUGUUGUCUCUCUUAGCAAACUCGGCUGGGUAACAGUCUAACUCUAAACCGUGAAACCCACCUUGGGCAAGUCCUCGACUUCCUGGGCUAGAAGGAGGUUUUAGCCUCUUAAUGAGUUCACUUCAAACAUAAAAGUAAAUGUGAAGUGUCAUCAUUACAUGUAAACAUGAAACAUAUUGUUUAUGGAUAUCAGUGACAUUUGACUACUAAAUUGAAAGGGUCUUUUAAAAAGUGUUGUCAUACCAGUUUCCAUUUCUGUUUGUCUGUACUGUUAUUAGUGUUUAUAUUGUACCCUUUUGGAAAAGUAUUGGGUUCAAUCUGUACCACUGUGUUUACAUAGUCCAUAUGGCACAUUUUAUUCUUCCAUAUCUAGUUUGUGUUAGUGUUUAGGUUUGACUUUUCUUAAAUUUUAGAAGGACUUGAUUUCACUCAUCAGAACCAUUUCAUCAUCACUGACCCAUUCCCACUAUUGCAUUUGUUCUCAUCUAUCAGUAUUAUUUUUGAGUAUUUUGUUUGGUGUCAUUCACACCUUACGUACGUGUUCUGUGUUCUGGUAGCCUGUAUCUAAAAGCAAAGUCUACAUAAUCUUUGCCUAUUCCAAAGAGCUAAAAAGAGAGACCCAAGAAAGCUUUGGACAUUUUGUUGUUGUUCUUAUUUUUAUUGUCGUUGCUGUAUUGUUAAUGUUUAAAUGUAAAAACUCUGGGGACUGUGAAUACAAAUGAGAGAGCCACAGUGGAUAAAGAAGGUCGUUUCAUGCAGAGCCAUUGGAGAUCUGACAUAAUCAGAAUAUCCAUGGUAGUGGAAAUAAAACUGGUAGCCUUUAAAAUUUCUUGCAGCCAGCGAGAAAGAUGAGUAAGGGGGAUGUCAUGUCUCAGCCACACAUGACACUGCGCUCCAAGCUCACAAUGGCCAUGACGUGUAAUACCAUGGUUUAGAUCCCUGAGGGGACCCGACUCUCCUUUUUGAUAAACGUUUUAUGAAUGAGCUAUAAAAUGGCUAGUGUGGGGUUAACAGAUGGAACAACUUGAAGUAAGCCGUCCAGUAUGCCCAGCACUAUGAUCUAACCACCUCAUUUUGUGACAGAAAAGGAGAAAAGUGUAAUAGUAGGAUCAUAUUACAUCAUUUGAAUAAUUUUGAACUAUCGAUGUCCUUGUAAUUCCACAGCUGUUGUCCGUUGUUUGAGGAUGUUAUCUACUAAACUGAGAAAAUUAAUUUCAUACCUACUACAUUUACACCAGCAACAGUAUGAAUGGAAGCGUAAAUUUGGAACAUUCAUAGUACUUUAGUAAUGACAUUUUUAAUAACAUGCGUAUAUAAAUGCAGAUUUUAAUGCGUGUUGACAAAAUCAUUUUUCAGCUUGCAAAAUGGGACUGCAAUAUGACAUUUUUCACUUAGGCAAUUUUUUACAUCUAUGUUGUUGCUUUCUAUAAUGAAUGUGAAUGCCAUCUUUUAUGAAUGCAAGUUGCCUUUUUCAUUACAAAAAUUUUCUUUGAUGUAAUCAAUAAACUUUG